rnacentral:rRNA from 1 species
UGGCGAACGGGUGAGUAACACGUGAGUAACCUGCCCUUGACUUUGGGAUAACUUCAGGAAACUGGGGCUAAUACCGGAUAGGAGCUCCUGCUGCAUGGUGGGGGUUGGAAAGGUUUCGGCGGUUGGGGAUGGACUCGCGGCUUAUCAGCUUGUUGGCGGGGUAGUGGCUUACCAAGGCUUCGACGGGUAGCCGGCCUGAGAGGGUGACCGGCCACAUUGGGACUGAGAUACGGCCCAG